GCCCGCAUAGCACAGUGGUAAUGCGUCGCACUUGUACUUCUCAAGCGCAUGCGAAGAUCCCUCGUUCAAUUCGGGGUGUGGGCA